UCCUCCUUUCUUCUUUCCUGCUCCAAUUUUGUUCCUCUCUGAGACAGAGGCUCUCUCCUUCAUUCAGCCGCCGAAACUUCUGCGACAGAGGCUGUGUGCGCCAAACCUCUCUCAGCCAUCAUCUCUCUCAGUCGAACCUCUCCCUCAACCUUCCUCUCUCUCAUCCUCUCUGACAGCCAAUCCUCUCUGCGCAAAACCUAUCUGCGCAAAACCUCCUCUCAGCCUCUCCCGUUGCCACGCCUCUCUCAGCCUCCGCCUCUCUUAGCCUCCGCCUCUCUCAGCCUCCACUUCUCUGUGAGCCGCCACCUCUCUCAGUCGCUGCCGUCACAGAUCCAGCACAGCAGUUCGUAGCCACCUUUUAAUUUUAUUUAGCUCUCUUUCUCUCUGUCAGGUAUGAUUCGCCAUAAACUAUUAGAGAAUUUCAGUUUCUUUGUUAUGCUGUCAGGUUUGUUAUUGUCUGUUGUUUGAUUA